AUGGUCUAUAGUAUACAUAGUUGUUUUUAUUUUUAUUUUUAUCAAAGAUAUGAUUCUUGGAAUGACAUGAGGUGUUGUUUUGUACUAAAUUUAAGUUUAUGGUUUGGGACAAAAAGGGCAUGUUCUGUGUUUUGGGUGAGUGGUUUGUGUGUGGAUAUUAUAAGGGAAUUGGAUAUGUUAUGUGAUUGUAAUGCUGACAUAGCAGAAUCAGAUGUUUCUAUCAGAAAUUUAUAUUUUAUA